GACAGAGGAUGCAAGCGUUAUCCGGAAUGAUUGGGCGUAAAGCGUCUGUAGGUGGCUUUUCAAGUCCGCCAUCAAAUCCCAGGGCUCAACCCUGGACAGGCGGUGGAAACUACCAAGCUUGAGUAUGGUAGGGGCAGAGGGAAUUUCCGGUGGUGCGGUGAAAUGCGCAGAUAUCGGGAGGAACACCGGUGGCGAAGGCGGUUCUCUGGGCCUGACCUGACGCUGAGGAGCGAAAGCGUGGGGAGCGAACAGG
rnacentral:rRNA from 1 species